rnacentral:rRNA from 1 species
ACGUAGGGUGCAAGCGUUAUUCGGAAUUAUUGGGCGUAAAGCGUGCGCAGGCGGUUAUAUAAGACAGAGGUGAAAUUCCCGGGCUUAACUUGGGAACUGCAUUUGUGACUGUAUAGCUAGAGUAAGGCAGAGGGGGAUGGAAUUUCGCGUGUAGCAGUGAAAUGCGUAGAUAUGCGGAGGAACACCGAUGGCGAAGGCAAUCCCCUGGGCCUGUACUGACGCUCAUGCACGAAAGCGUGGGGAGCAAACAG